AUGCCAAGGCUUGGAGUGGAUGACCUCCCGUAUUGGAGUGGCAAAGAGGUUCGGUAUCCCCAAAGCAGGGGUUCUUUCCAGCUAUUUAAACACACUGCACUCAGUAAGGUGAAGAAGACUUGGGCACAGCUGCUCAAAAUAUUUGUCAGCAAAAUAAAAUUGAGUUGUUCUGUGAAGUUGGAUGGGGCUUUUGUCCGUGAGUACCGUGUGGUGAAGAGGUAUUGCAGCAGUGUAGCCUUGUCACUCUCAGUUCACAAAGCACCUUGGCUGGACACCUGCUUCCUUUCAUCUCAGAGAAACUCCAGCUUUGAUCCUAAAGAGACUGUCACAUCAUUUCAGCCAUGGGAAGCAUGGGUCUUUGUUUGUUUUAGCAAAGAGUAUUUGUUUUAGAGGACUGUUCUCUUUCACAGUAUAGCAAAGAGUGUUUGUUUUAGAGGACUGUUCUCUUUCACAGUAAGAACAAAACAAAUGCAAACAAAAGACUGGGAAAAAACUUGUAUGGAUCUUUGAGUGUGCAUUUGACUAUGCUUAGUAUUUAGCUGAGUUUGCUCUUUCCUUUUGUACAGUCUGCCUUGUUAAAGCGCCUUGAAGUCAACAGUGAGGAGAGCAGGAUGAGAACAACCUUCAACUUCUGAAAUUACCUUGAUGAUCUUUCAACAAUGAGUGGUUCUAUAUUUUGCUUCUUAGGGAAUAGUGCACUGGAAAAGCUCCAUGCUGUCCACACAGUGUGUGUGCCCACCUGCAGGCAGGAAAAAUGCAGCUUUAUGUUAGGUUUGUUUCUUGCUAGGUGUGCUACUCCUCAGUUCAGUUGAUUUUUGUUUUGCUGGGUAGAGAGAUGUAUUUCAUACAGAAAGUUUUCCUGGAUGUAUCUGAAGACAUGCUUCCAGUUUGCACACCAGUUUGUGUCCCCUAGAUGGCAGGAAAGGAUCAGUGUAACAGUGCCUUACCUGCUUUAGCUUGUGUUCAUCUGUGUGAAAGACUUAAAAUGCCUCAGUAAAUGAAGAGGCUGUGUACCUCAGUUCAGUAGCUGAACUGUGGGGAUCACGCUUAGAUGUAAUGGAGACAGCAUAAAGGAGGGGAAGAUUGAAUCACAUCUUUGGUGGGAAGAAAGCUUACAGUGAGGUUUUAAAAAAUUUCAAAACUGCUCUAUAGUUUAAAGGCAUUUUGUCUUAAUUCUUUAUGGUUAGAAUAAUAUUCCAGACCUUCUAUUGUUGCUGCAACUGCAAAUGUAGACAACAGAAAUAAUUAAUACAAUUCCUGGCAUGUUUCAUUUUAAUAAUAACUUCUGUCUGUUGCCCAUGACAGGCGUGAUUUUCUUGAACUUUGGUUGAUGACAGUUGCUCCUGUUGCCCUACUACUCCUCAAAUUGUAAGCAUCUGGAACAUUGGAGCUGUCACCUUGCAGUGUGUUUAGCUGUGAUGAUGAUUCGUAAUCUUUACUAUAUACUACUGCACAUGAAGGCUAAAUUCAAGUAAAAUAGUAGCUCUGUUCAAGAUUUAGAUUAUUCGUAGUGUAAGUAAUCAAAAUAGCAACAGUUGCAGUAGGCAGUACCACCAACAGGUUUUCAUUGCAAAUGUUGUUUCUUGUGUAGUUGAUAAAAUGUAUGUCAUAUUUGUUUAUUUCACUUUAUGCAGUGUUUGAAAAAGUUACUUACAUUAUAACUGUAACUACUGACAAGAGUAUUGUCUAAUAAUUGGCACUUCAUUUUUAUGUCCACAUUGAAAAUUACUGCUGGCUGAUCUUUAUUACAAGUGGAAUUUACUUGUAUAGUCUCAAAGGGCUCAUCCUCCAUUUGAACAAGAAAAGAAGUGGUGAAAAGUGUUGGGGUCAUCUCGGGAAGGAGUAAAGUCUUCAAGACCAUAAUUUCAUGUCUUUUCUAAGCAUAUUCUGUAUUGAAGCAAUGAGCAAGAACUUCUUGAAACUCACUAUUUUGGCAGCUCAUCUUUUACAACUAGAAGCAAAAGUUAACCUGUACGUACAAGUUGUACCAAAGGGUUUAGUUGAAAGACUUUGGAUACUGCUGAGGUGGGAGCAGUCGUGACCUAGCUUAGCUGUGUUCCGAGUCUGGAGUAGGGACAGAUCCCAUUCUGUUCCCAAAGCCACUCGGAUAGAGGUACUGGCAUGCUGUCCAUGGAAGCUGACCUGGAGAUCCCCACACCCUGAACGUGUGGGUACACUUUCUGUGUGGGUUGUUCAGCCCACAGAAGCCGUCUCCAGAGCCCUGCACAGAGGCUUCUGUGCUCUUGUGUGGGUACACUUUCUGUGCGGGUUGUUCAGCCCACAGGAGCCGUUUCCAGAGCCCUGCACAGAGGCUUCUGUGCUCUGCAGUGCACACAGUGCUCUUGCUGUGUCCACAGAGAAUGAGGUGGAUCUGCCUCCAGAGAUGACUGGUUUCACUGCACUCCUCUCCUGAAAUGACUGCAAAGUUACUGGAAGCUGCAAUGAAGUGUACCAAGAUAAACCUCAGUGGAAAUAUUAAUAGAAAUUUUCAGAUGUAAAUUUCAGAUUUACCAACAUUUUAGAAUUAAAUUAAUUAAAAGGCACUGUUGGUUGGAAAAAUGUCUACUGAGUUGUUAAAAAUUUUCAGAAAACAUGUUUCAAAAAUAGGGCUGCUAAGACUGAUAGUGACUUAGAAUUUUCAUAGCUG
ensembl:lncRNA